UACGUAGGGUGCGAGCGUUGUCCGGAAUUAUUGGGCGUAAAGAGCUCGUAGGCGGUGUGUCACGUCGGCCGUGAAAACCUGCAGCUUAACUGUGGGCGUGCGGUCGAUACGGGCAUCACUGGAGUUCGGCAGGGGAGACUGGAAUUCCUGGUGUAGCGGUGAAAUGCGCAGAUAUCAGGAGGAACACCCGUAGCGAAGGCGGCAUUCUGGGCCGAUACUGACGCUGAGGAGCGAAAGCGUGGGGAGCGAACAGG
rnacentral:rRNA from 1 species